UCACAGGAGUGUAGAGGCGGGUGUCGCUCCGCUGCUGUGGCGCUCUGGGAUUACUAACCGAAGAAAGCUGCAAAACUAACUCUGCCUUCUUUAACCGACACUUCACCGCUUCGGUGUCCGCCUGAGAGACACGGACGGUUAUUUCUGUAUUGUUUUAUUGCUCCACUCUGGACCUGCGAAGGAAACAAUAAGAUACUCUGCCGGCUGCUGUCUUAAAACCAGCCUGCACCGACCGGCUGUACUCACCUGCUCGGAGGAUCCCUGUUUGGAAGCGACGGUAAAGUAACAACGCUGUUCGUUUCUGAAGUACAACCUGUGCCAGUUUACAAAGUUGUAGAUUUGACCUGCGGAGACUUUGGAGUUCCCGUUCGCUGAUAUUUCAAGUGUUUAGAUUGUCUCAUUACAUUCGAGUCAGAGCGAGUCCACACUCCGUUAAUGGAUCCUUGUGCGGGAACGCUGCUACUGGAGCAGCUUUUUUAAAUUGGAAACCUUCCACUCAAUUAUCUGUCUACUCGUUUUAAUCAAAUGUCACAAAUUAGCUUUUUUGAUAUGUGGCACACUUUCGUGAAGAGUUUUUUUCCCUCCGACCCGAGGUGAAACUCAGUUCAACACCCGCUGACGCUAUCGGAACCACAUGGCUCGCAGUGAGCUCGAGGAGCAGAGGCAUCGUGCUCUCUGUUCAUCGUGCGGUGUUGGGUCGUCGAGUACCCUUUUAAAGGUUUGUUACUCGAUGGGGCUCUACUCUAGCACGCGCUCCAUUCUUCUGCCAGUUGGAUCCGUUGUGGUUGUUUCACAUGAAAAGCUUUCUGUGUUUGUGUUUCUGUCCGCUCUUUUUUUUUUUCAUCGGUUUGAAGUCAGCUCAGUUGAUGAAUACGGUGAGAUUUGUGAGGUUUACAUCCACGUUGCCAGGUUGCUAUCAAUUACAUCUAAUCGGUCUACAGUCAUCAGAUAAAUCGGGUCAGUUGUGUUUCAUGAACUCUGAAUAACGAGAACAAGAAGAACUUUAACGGUUGCUCAUUAUGGGACUUAUGAACCGGUUCCUCGGACUUGCACGUCUCUGUGAUUAUUAGAUCCGCGUUGAAAUCAGCAGGAGGAGGAGCUAGCUACCGUUAGCUUGAUGCAGCUAGCAGCCGGUGGGCAACA